rnacentral:lncRNA from 1 species
CAAUGUAAGAUAUGGUAAGAAAGAGAAGAAAACCAAUGACUUUUAAAAUUUACAGUGAUUCCUUGGUGGCAUUGGGGUCUUUCAGUGGUGAGGAAACAGGAAGAAUUCCCAGGAGACCUUGA